AGAGGUCGACAUUUCUCAUUGUUAGUUAAUUUGUCAAUAAGUUUUCAAAAUUGAUACCGUUUAGUAUACUUGAAAGGGUUCACGGAUGGACGUCGGUUUUGCGGUGGUAUUGAUUAACGAUGGCCUACAGAUUUCCCGUUGGAUCUUGCCAUUCAAUAAUCUGAGAAAUUGACAUGAUUUUUUAGAUCUUAAAUUGAUAAGUACUCAAGCUGGUUGGGAAACUUUCCCGGAAAAGAUUUAGAUGGCAAUUCCAAACUUAAGCAAUGCUGAAAGUUUCAGAUAAUUUCAGGCUUUGUACCGCGCACGGCUAAAGCAAAUGCAAAUAACCGAACCUCAGUGAACUUUGAAAUUCCAACGAGUUUUUCAAAAAGCAGAUUUAUUGGAAUUUUCUAGCCCUCAUACUAUCCCAUCUCAGUGUCCAAAAUUCCACCGAUAUAAAAGAAAAUCAAUUAACAACAUUCCUUGGGCAUUUAUGGCCGUCGAUUUUGAAAAAAUGCCAUGGGGGGAAAUAAAUCGGCGAUAAAUUAGGAAACUUUCGCGUGUUUCGUUGGAAACAUCAUAUUUUAAAAAUCCAUCAAUAAAAGUGAUUUAUUGCCGGUUGUAAUGCUGA